AUUGAACGCUGGCGGCAGGCUUAACACAUGCAAGUCGAGCGAGCGGCGGACGGGUGAGUACUGUCUGGGACACUGCAUGAUGGAGGGGGAUAACUAAUGGAAACGGUAGCUAAUACCGCAUACAAUCAGAUGGGCCCAGAUGGGAUUAGAUAGUAGGUGGGGUGAUGGCACACCUAGGCGAAGAUCCCUAGCUGGUCUGAGAGGAUGACCAGCCACACUGGAACUGAGACACGGUCCCGACUCCUACUGUAGGCAUCAGUCGGGAAUAUUGCACAAUGGGCGCAAGCCUGAUGCCGCCAUGCCGCGUGUGUGAAGAAGGCCUUCGGGUUGUAAAGCACUUUCAGCGAGGAGGCGUUACUCGCAGAAGAAGCACCGGCUAACUCCGUGCCAGCAGCCGCGGUAAUUC
rnacentral:rRNA from 1 species